rnacentral:lncRNA from 1 species
UUUCCCGACUUCUUGAGCAAGAAAAGAAGAUCACUCAGCUGCAUCUCGAGAAUCAGCAGAACAGCCAACUGGGGCAUCAAAAAAAAAUCAAUCAAAAAAAAAACAAAGAAAGAAAGGGUGCAAAAGAAAUCAAAAGAAAUCAAAAGCAAAAUCAAAAGAAAAAACAAAGGAAAAAUAGCACCCUUAAAGUCCCAAGUUGACUGAUGCUGAA